AUGUCAGAGAAGGAGAUGCAAGAGACAAAAGAUGGAGACAGAUCACAUAUAGUUAUGAAUAUGGGCUCUAGAUCCAGACUGCGUGGGUUCAAAUCUUGACUCUUCAGGUUUGUGGCUUUGGGCAAGUUAGUCAACUUUUCUGUGCUUUAGCUUCAUAACCUAUAAAAUGAAGAAAAUACUAGUACUGGUCUCAUAUGUGUGUUGAGAAUUAUUUAUAUGACGUGCUUAGAAUAUCGCCUAGGACAUGGGAAGUGUUGUGUAUUGAUAAUAAUUUUAAAAUGAUUAUAAUAUUGUUCUUAAUGGGGACCUCUGAGAUUCCAGAGCCCACUAUUUUAACUGCUCUUUCUCUAGGACCCGUACCCCCAGCCCCAGUCUCCCUUGGCUGUAUUCUCCUGGCAGUACUCCAGCGCUGAUCUCAGAGCUCAUAAUUUGAGCUACUGAGUGAGUUCUGCGAAGGAAAACAUCACAGUGCAGCAGAUUUGUGUCACCACACAUUUGUGAGCACCAAUUUCAACAGGGCUCCUAACACCACCAGAAAUUCUGUUUCUCUGCCUCAUUCUCCAUAAAAACUAGUAUUUCUUUUUUUUCAUUUUAGAAGAAGCCAAUUUUAUCAAACAUUUCAAAUACAUUUGUGUUAUGGUUAAAUUCCAAGGUCAAGUCAAUAAUACAGAGAUACAAAGUGACUUAGAGAAAAUAUUCUAGACUAGAAUUCAUGAUUUCUUUAAGUGAUCAAAAGUUGAUGUGUUUAACAAAAAAUAACUGAAUAGAAUUAUAUGCAGACCGGGUACAGUGGCUCAGGUCUGUAGUCCCAGCACUUUGGGAGGCCGAGGUGGGUAGAUAGCUUGAGUCCAGGAAUUUGAAACCAGCCUGGGCAACAUGGAACAUCCCUGUCUCUACAAAACAUACAAAAGUUAGCUGGGCAUUGUGGUGUGCACGUGCAGUCCCAGAUACUCAGGAGGAUGAGGCGGGAGGAUCACCUGAGCCCAGGAGGUCAAGGCUGCAGUGAGCUGUGAUUGCAAUGCCGUACUCCAGCCUGGGUGUCGGAGUGAGACUCUGUUUCAAUAAAUAAAUAAAUAAAUAAAAUUAUAUGCAAAUUACAUACAUGCUUAUACUAUAAUCCAUUGUGGCCAGGCAAUAAUAGGCUUCAAAGGUUCAACAAAAAUUAGUAGAUAAGGAUUGAAAUUGGCAAUGAAGAACUAGUAUUUCCAGCCUUGCCUGGUCCCUUCCAGUCUCUAGCUUCCCCUCUUCAUCCCUUAUUCUCAGUGGAUAAUCUUGCUUCCCACCUCAUAAGAAAAGAGAUGUGAGAAUGGAAUUAUAAUUAUGCUGCUUCCAAAUCCACAAACGUACUUGCAUCUCUUACCCUGGGAGAA
rnacentral:lncRNA from 1 species